rnacentral:rRNA from 1 species
GAUCAUGGCUCAGGACGAACGCUGGCGGCGUGCUUAACACAUGCAAGUCGAACGGAAAGGCCCUGCUUUUGUGGGGUGCUCGAGUGGCGAACGGGUGAGUAACACGUGAGUAACCUGCCCUUGACUUUGGGAUAACUUCAGGAAACUGGGGCUAAUACCGGAUAGGGGCUCCUGCUGCAUGGUGGGGGUUGGAAAGUUUCGGCGGUUGGGGAUGGACUCGCGGCUUAUCAGCUUGUUGGUGGGGUAGUGGCUUACCAAGG